rnacentral:rRNA from 1 species
CAAAAACAUAGCUGUGUGUUAGUACUCUCAGUAUUUUCUGCUCAAUGAGAUAUUAAAUAGCCGCAGUACCCUGACUGUGCAAAGGUAGCGUAAUCAGUUGUCUUCUAAUUAAAGUCUCGAAUGAAUGAAUAUAUGGGGACCCACUUUACCUAUGACAGAAAGGGAAUUUGCUUAGUGGGUGCAAACACCCACAUUAUUAAAUAGACGAGAAGACCCUAGAAAUUUUUAAGUAUUUUUUGUUGGGGCAACAUGGUAACAUGUAAUUUACUAUAUGUGUAUGAAAUAUAUUUGAAAACCUAAAUUACUCUAGGGAUAACAGCAUAAUUUAGAAAUGUUUGUGACCUCGAUGUUGGAUUAGGAAAUUAUAACUUAAAAGGUGAUUAAUUAGGCUCUGUUCGAGCA